CUUGCUGCGCUCCAGCUGGGGCUCCAGCCAGGAGAGCGGGGCCGCGGGGCUUGCAACACUCCGGCUGGAGCUCCAGCCGGGAAAGCGGGGCUGCGGGGCUUGCUGUGCUCCGGCCAGGGCUCCAGCCAGGAGAGCGGGGCUGCGGGGCUUGCCGCACUCCAGCCGAGGCUACAGCCGGAGCCGCGGGGCUUGCUGGGCUCCAGCCUGUGCUUCGCUCAAGGGAGCAGGACCACCCGGAAGACCCCAGAGCAGAUCGCAGCCAGGGACCCGGGACUCUUUCUCCUGGAGUGUCUUAAUCAAAACCUGCCAACUCGCUGCUAAUGAGGAAUCUGCAUCUUCCUGUAUGCGAUAAUUUUUCUGUUACAAGAGAAGAUCCUCUAAUGGAAUUGAUUCCUCUUGAAGACUAUGGAAUAUCCAAAAGACUAAAGAGAGAGGAUAUUUUACACUGGCUGAAAUCCUAGCCUUCAUUGAAGACAAUGGCAAAAUUCCCACUAAAUGCAAUGGGGCCCAGAUUUCACCCACUGUAUUUUACAUUUGUUUUAUUUCUUCACUGUGUAUUUGUAUUCCCUGGCAUUGGAGGGUGGGUAUACAUCCUCUUGUGUAUCUGGUCCGUUGUGCAAAAUGAGGACCAUGGAUGAAAGCCUGACCCCACUGAAGUUAACAAAAAAAACCCCAAAACCUCUCAUUUGACUUCAAUAUGCACAGGAAUUCACCACUGAUCCUCCAGUUGACGGCAUGCAAGGGGAUUGCUGUGCCCACACAAAGCCCCAACAGUACUGGGCCUGAAAGAUUUCCCAACAGAGGUGACCUGUGAAUUACUGUUCAUUUUUGUUCCAACUUGAUUUCAACCUCCAACUAUGCAGGUGGGAAGGCACUCCCUUUUUGGGUUGGAAAA